rnacentral:lncRNA from 1 species
CGGGAGGACCUGGACUUGGUGUCUGAAGUUGCCUGCUCCACAGGAAACCACCUCCCUCUGCUGCUUGCUUUCUCUUGAGCCAACACCCAAAGCCACCAUCAGUGUCAUGGGGAUGAGACUUUUCAAGGCUGUUCCCACUUUCUUCUUCUUCCUCCUUUGCAGAAGGUAAAACAUUAAUUUAAGAUGAUGAAACCAGACAUUUUGAGAAAAGUUUGGACAACAAUGACAAAGUGUAACAUAAGCACAGAAAAUGAGGGACAACAGAGUAGACUGUCUGGCCUCAGACCACCAGCUUUCACACUAAAGGCCUCAGAGCUAGUGUGCUUGAGAAUUCCACCAGAACAUACCAAAGUACAUGCAAAC